UACGAAGGGGGCUAGCGUUGCUCGGAAUCACUGGGCGUAAAGCGCACGUAGGCGGACUCUUAAGUCGGGUGGUGAAGUCCUGGAGCUCAACUCCAGAACUGCCUUCGAUACUGAGAGUCUCGAGUCCGGGAGAGGUGAGUGGAACUGCGAGUGUAGAGGUGAAAUUCGUAGAUAUUCGCAAGAACACCAGUGGCGAAGGCGGCUCACUGGCCCGGUACUGACGCUGAGGUGCGAAAGCGUGGGGAGCAAACAGG
rnacentral:rRNA from 1 species